rnacentral:rRNA from 1 species
AGGACGAACGCUGGCGGCGUGCUUAACACAUGCAAGUCGAGCGGUAAGGCCUUUCGGGGUACACGAGCGGCGAACGGGUGAGUAACACGUGGGUGAUCUGCCCUGCACUUCGGGAUAAGCCUGGGAAACUGGGUCUAAUACCGGAUAUGACCUCCUAUCGCAUGGUGGGUGGUGGAAAGAUUUAUCGGUGCAGGAUGGGCCCGCGGCCUAUCAGCUUGGUUGGUGGGGUAAUGGCCUACCAAGGCGACGACGGGUAGCCGACCUGAGAGGGUGACCGGCCACACUGGGACUGAGACACGGCCCAGACUCCUACGGGUGGCAGCAGUGGGGAAUAUUGCACAAUGGGCGAAAGCCUGAUGCAGCGACGCCGCGUGGAGGAUGACGGCUUCGGGUUGUAAACCUCUUUCGAGUCGAGGACGAAGCGACAAGUGACGGUACUGCAGAAGAAGCACCGGCUAACUACGUCGCCAGCACGCCGACGGUAACUCGUAGACGGACGGCGUACGGACGAACGGCCG